UUCCUUCUGCGCCUAUUUAACAAUUAUG
rnacentral:piRNA from 1 species